UGACUACAGCCACUACUACAAGACCAUCCAGGACCUGCAGGACAAGCUUCUUGGUGCCACCAUUGAGAACUCCAGGAUUGUCCUGGAGAUCGACAACGCCCAUCUGGCUGCAGAUA
rnacentral:pre_miRNA from 1 species